GUAGGGGGCAAGCGUUAUCCGGAAUNACUGGGUGUAAAGGGUGCGUAGGUGGUAUGGCAAGUCAGAAGUGAAAACCCAGGGCUUAACUCUGGGACUGCUUUUGAAACUGUCAGACUGGAGUGCAGGAGAGGUAAGCGGAAUUCCUAGUGUAGCGGUGAAAUGCGUAGAUAUUAGGAGGAGCACCAGUGGCGAAGGCGGUCAACUGGACAGCAACUGACGCUGAGGCGCGAAAGCGUGGGGAGCAAACAGGAUUAGAUACCCUGGUAGUCCACGCCGUAAACGAUGUCGACUUGGAGGUUGUGCCCUUGAGGCGUGGCUUCCGGAGCUAACGCGUUAAGUCGACCGCCUGGGGAGUACGGCCGCAAGGUUAAAACUCAAA
rnacentral:rRNA from 1 species